CUCUGAAGAGGGCGUUUCCCCCCCUGACAGACCCCCACCCCCUCGGCAGGUAGAGUCGGGGCUUGUACCCCCGAUCUCGGGACGAAGGGAAGCUCACUCCCACUCUCCACGCUGAGCUCCCAGCCAGAGGCGCCUGUUGAGUGUCAGUGUGUGUGUGUCAGUGUGUGUGUUUGUGUUCCACGUCCUCAGAAGGGAACUGUACGUGUGUGUGUGUGUCAGUGUGUGGGUGUGUGUGUCAGUGUGUGAGUGUCCUCAGAAGGGAACUGUACCUGUGUGUCAGUGUGUGUCAGUGUGUGAGUGUCCUCAGAAGGGAACUGUACCUGUGUCAGUGUGUGAGUGUCCUCAGAAGGGAACUGUACCUGUGUGUCAGUGUGUGUCAGUGUGUGAGUGUCCUC
rnacentral:lncRNA from 1 species